CACGUAGGCACCAAGCGUUGUCCGGAUUUAUUGGGCGUAAAGAGCUCGUAGGCGGUUCAGUAAGUCGGGUGUGAAAACUCAGGGCUCAACCCUGAGCUGCCACCCGAUACUGCUGUGACUUGAGUCUGGUAGGGGAGUGGGGAAUUCCUGGUGUAGCGGUGAAAUGCGCAGAUAUCAGGAGGAACACCGGUGGCGAAGGCGCCACUCUGGGCCACGACUGACGCUGAGGAGCGAAAGCAUGGGUAGCAAACAGGAUUAGAUACCCUGGUAGUCCAUGCCGUAAACGUUGGGCACUAGGUGUGGGUUCCAACCAACGGAAUCCGUGCCGUCGCUAACGCAUUAAGUGCCCCGCCUGGGGAGUACGGCCGCAAGGCUAAA
rnacentral:rRNA from 1 species